rnacentral:rRNA from 1 species
GACGAACGCUUGCGACGUGCCUAAGAAAUGCAAGUCGGACGGGCGUCCCCUUCGGGGGGCGCUAGUGGCGAACGGUCGCGUAACACGUGGGCAACCUGCCCCGGAGCGGGGGACAACGGCCCGAAAGGGCCGCUAAUACCGCAUGGGCAUUCGCUCUGGCAUCAGGGCGUAUGCAAAGGACUUCGGUCCGCUCCGGGAUGGGCCCGCGGCCUAUCAGCUGGUUGGCGGGGUGACGGCCCACCAAGGCUUCGACGGGUAGCUGGUCUGAGAGGACGAU